rnacentral:tRNA from 1 species
GCUGGGGUAUGACUCAGUUGGUAGAGCGCUUGCCUCACAGCAUGAGGCCCUGGGUUCAAUCCCCAGCAGCAUCAGCA